AGUGAACGCUGGCGGUAGGCCUAACACAUGCAAGUCGAACGACAGCACAGUAAGAGCUUGCUCUUACGGGUGGCGAGUGGCGGACGGGUGAGGAAUACAUCGGAAUCUACUUUUUCGUGGGGGAUAACGUAGGGAAACUUACGCUAAUACCGCAUACGACCUACGGGUGAAAGCAGGGGAUCUUCGGACCUUGCGCGAUUGAAUGAGCCGAUGUCGGAUUAGCUAGUUGGCGGGGUAAAGGCCCACCAAGGCGACGAUCCGUAGCUGGUCUGAGAGGAUGAUCAGCCACACUGGAACUGAGACACGGUCCAGACUCCUACGGGAGGCAGCAGUGGGGAAUAUUGGACAAUGGGCGCAAGCCUGAUCCAGCCAUACCGCGUGGGUGAAGAAGACCUUCGGGUUGUAAAGCCCUUUUGUUGGGAAAGAAAAGCAGCAGGUUAAUACCCCGCUGUUCUGACGGUACCCAAAGAAUAAGCACCGGCUAACUUCGUG
rnacentral:rRNA from 1 species